AGUAAUGUAUGGGGAUCUGCCUGAUGGCGGGGGAUAACUACUGGAAACGGUAGCUAAUACCGCAUAAUGUCUGCGGACCAAAGCGGGGGACCUCCGGGCCUCGCGCCAUCAGAUGAACCCAUAUGGGAUUAGCUAGUAGGUGAGGUAACGGCUUACCUAGGCGACGAUCCCUAGCUGGUCUGAGAGGAUGAUCAGCCACACUGGGACUGAGACACGGUCCAG
rnacentral:rRNA from 1 species